rnacentral:lncRNA from 1 species
GCCAGGAUUACAAAGAACCACAGAGCUUCUCCAAGCAGACAGUGAGCAUAUGGUGAAGACAUAAACAAGCUAUUGAGGAAGAUUAACCAACAUGAGCAGGUAUUGCUUCCAAGAGAUAUGCUGUGUUCCUUGGAGUAGAAAAACCCCAAAGGCAUUUUUUGUGUCUGGGAAAAUAUCUUGCACAUGCCUGACUGUACAAAUAGUGAUCUAGCAAAAUACCACACUCUUUCCAAUAGAGCUGUGCCCAGUGUAGGGAAACCCUUCUCCCCACUGUGGCCCAUGAGAAACUGCUACAUACUGCUCCAGCACAGCUGCUGUUGAGGAACUGUCUUCACCUGUGACCACAGCCACACCCAUUUCUCUUUGCAAUGCUUCUGCUCCAGUGUUUGAAUGAGCCUGAACGAUGAUGAAAUGCCUCCCAGGAGAGUCGGCAGCUUCCCGAAGAUUGAAGCCUGCCUGGCUCCAUCCUCUUCCAUUUCAGUGCCGCAGAUGAGGGACUGGAUGGAUGGCACUCGUAUGUGCCCAUUGUCCAAGUACUGAGACGAAGUCGUAGUAAUGAGGAUGCUGGAGGUGAAUCUUAGAAUCCACAGGUUGCUGGAUCUGGAAGAGCACUUCUGGGGGGAUACAAUUUCUGCUUGCCUUCUCACUUCAGCGUUUGCUGAUGUCUGGACCUGGGCGCAGAACAUCAUACAGUUUUAUUUGACACAAUAUGACUUUAUUGUGCAGAAACUAACAUCGAAGCAAACCAGGACAACUAGUCCUGCUCCUAGAGUGCCUUUGUUGGUAUGUAAUAACAAUGUGCUGGUGUGGAUUAAAUAUGCUAUAUUUACAGAACAAGUUGGUAGGUGUUUUUUUUUUUUUUUUUUGUGGAAGCCA